ACUUAGCCAGGACUUGGGGAAGGGAAAACCUUGGGAUGAAGUUUCUGCUACCCUUGAAGAAUGAGAUUUCAAAGUUGCAAGUGAAUUUUAAAAAGUGUGUUUUUCGAAUGCUCCAGUUGGGCACAGAGAGGUAUGCCCGUCAUAGACCAGGAUGAGUUGGAUUCUGUAAGUACUCUCUGAAAGCUUCCUGGGGAGGGUUCACUCGGGGGGUUGGGGGGCUGCUGUCUUCCACUCUUUCAUGGGGUCCCAGGGCAGCGUAGAGACCAUCAGAGACCAGGGCAGGGCAGGGUUGCUGGAGUCCACAGGUCUGGGGUCUUGGGCUGACUUCUGGUGCCGGCCUUUUAUUCUCUCCAACAACCAGUGAAGUGCCUGUCCAUCCUGAGAUGCUUGCAUACUGCAGGUGGAUUUAGGGUAGAGACGUGGGAAGAAAGGGGAGGCAGAGAAAAAAAAAAUUCUUGCCUUUCUCUGUCAAUUAUGGAAGUGUUACAGCGGAGGUGGAGGGGGAAAACUGGGUAAAUUGGUUUUGAUUUUGGAGAUGUAACUAAGCCAGAUCAUUUCAUGGCUUCUUUUGAGCCCACAAUUUCUGAUUUUCCAUUACUUUCCAUUCCCUUCACUGGAGCAGCCAGAGAGUGGUAAUGUGGUCCUUUCAGAGCCAGCCAGAGUGCUUCUUUAACACCUGGUAACCACAUGGUCCUGGGCAAGUCACGGCAUGUCUGUCCACAUCAUCUGUGACAGCGGGUGGCGCUCAGCAUCACCAUGAUGACUAUGUAGCUAGAAGCUUGUCAGAUUUUGCACAGGGGCAGCCAGCAACAAGCCCUCUUUCCUAGUUGUAUCCAGAUGACCUUGAAAUCCCAUAGCCUCACUUUUUGCGUCCAGUUUGAAAGCAGGCUUCGAUUCUCUCCCCUAACAUUUCCUUGAAAGUUCAUUCUUCAUUGCUGUCCUCACCAACGGGGACCCCCCCCCCAAGACUUCCAGAAAUGGGUGAACUCCCCAUCAGGAAGUCCAGUAAAGCGGGAAGCAAACUUUCAAGGCAAAAUGCUGAAGGUCCUUGUUUCCUUUGCUUAGUUCUAGUGAUUUGCAGAGUGCUGAUGUGGCUGGUCCCAGCAGCCAAUCCCACCCCACAGAGGACUCGGGGUGGAGACUCUUUGGUACGCGGCUGGGCAGCAGAGUUGCGUGCUGUGUACUUAAUCUGAUUAAACUUUCUGUUGUUUAUUAAA